rnacentral:lncRNA from 1 species
GUGAGGCUCAUGCAGCCAUGGUAUUAAGUUGCGGCCGCAACGCAGUGUAACAACCGCAUCGUAACAGUUUUGAAGGUCUCUGCAACGCAAUAUUGGCGCGACGCCACGAGGGAACUGCAUCAUGACUUUUGCGGUCUGAAACCGUUACGUAACGCUGCAACAUGUAAUAUAUUGCACCGCAACUCCACAACAAACUUUCAAAUUAUCUGAAAUAUGAAAUCAUAUAGAUGAAACACGAAUAUUUUUAGACUUAGCAAAAAAGAAAAAAAUGAUGUUAAAUAAUAACAAAUAUUUAACUUGAAACAUCCUUGUUUGGUCCUUAGAACAUUACGAAAAUUGUUUGAUCAUUAGAACUUUUAACAGACUUCCAACAUUAUACUUACAUUAAAUCAACAAAUUGCAUGUCCAUUAUCACUUUUUUCUUAGCAGUGAUUAUCGGGUAAAGCUUUAUUUGUGAUUACUUUAUGAUUUGAAUGACAUAUGCAUACUUUUCUUUUACAUACACUUGAUAUAUAUACACACACUUUUCAUUUACAUUUAAGUUUUGUGUUACAACUUACAAUUUUAUAGAUUUAUUUAUGAUUACUUAAGGAUUUUAAUGGUAGAAUUUGUUGAUGGCGUUGUGUUGUUUGGUUGUCCUGAUUUUGGACUUUCAGCACUACUAUUUCUGCAGUUGCUUUUUUCAAUAAUAAAAUAAAUAUUGAUAAGCAAAAAAAAAGUUUGUAAAUAAAAUUUGUUUUGAAGUGUUUGAAAAACUACGAUAGAAUCUUUUAGUACAAUCAUUCAACAAAUACAAAAAAAAAGGGGUAAUGUGUAAGUAAAGGACUAAAGUAAAUAGUGUAAAUUUUGUUUUGAAGUGUUUGAAAAAAUUGGAAAACAGUGAUAGAAUCUUUUGGUACAAUUAUUCAAUAAAUAAAGGGAAAAAAAAGGGUAAAAUGUAAGUAAAGGGCUAAAGUAAACUGUGUAAAUUUUGUUUUGAAGUAUUUGAUAAAAUUGGAAAACUACGAUAGAAUCUUUUGGUACAAUCAUUCAACAAAUAAAGAGAAAAAAUUGAGUAUGAAAUGAAUAAGUAUAUAUAUUAUUUCAUGUACUUUUUCUCUUAAAAAUAGUUAACAAAUUUAAAAGAAAAAUUGAAUUGUGUCAAAAAAAAAAGUUUACACCACUACAUAAACCAUCAACGGGUGGAAGAGGCAAAUAGAAACUUUGAGUUCCAAAUUUCACUUAUCCUUCUCCACCAUUUCAAGAGUUCACUUCCUCUUUUUUUCCAUUUCAAGACUUGUUCUUAACUCUAUAGUUAUUACAAUAGGCAUGAUAUAAAAUUAUUAUUAUUUUAUUAAUUGCGGUUGAUUAGUAUGCGCAGCUAAUUUAGGGUUUAUUACUUAGUUUAAAUAAUCUAUUUAUCUUAGUUUAUUACAUGAAAGUUGAAAGAACUAAAUAAAAGAUACAAUAGAUAUGGUAUUUUUGUGGAUCAUUUUGUGGUGUUAGUUAUAAGUAUUAUGAUUUAUGUAUCAUUUUUUUUUAAUUUUUUUAUUAUUAGUUUUAAGUUUUAUAAAUAUUAUUUUAUUUUUGAAUAUUUUACUAUCUGGUUUGAUCUCAUGUAACUAAUAAUAAUGAUUUAUGUGCAACUAUAAAAAAAAUGCCACGUUUGAGAAGUAAAGAAGGUGAAGCACCUAGUGAUGAUUACGGUUGGAGGUGGGGAGAACCUGUUGAAGGUGGUCGUAAUAAUGUCAAAUGAAAAUUUUGUGAAAGAGUCAUCAAAGGAGGAAUAACACGGUUGAAAGAGCAUUUGGCAGCAAAAAAAAGGGAAUAUAGCACCUUGUCCAAAUGUCUCGACAGAAGUUAGAAAAACCAUUGCUCAACAGCUUAAUGAAUAUCAUAAUGAAAAAAUUGUGAAGCAGAGGAGGAAAGAAGAAUUGGAGGAAAGAAUAAGAUUAGGAGAUCAUGGAGAUUAUGGUGAUAGUGAUGUUGAUGAUGAUAAGUUAACUAUUGCAAGACGUGAUAGUAUAAGAUCCAAAAUUGAAUGGGAAGAAAGGCAACGUCGAAGAGCAAGAACUGAUCAAGAUUCAGUUUAUGAAACGGGGGGAGGUAGUAGUUCUAAAACUCAAGUAUUUAGGAGAUCAUUCAGUAUCCAUAAUUCUGAAAGAAGUGGGAGGGACCAUCAAUGGACUAAUUUUAACUCUCCUGGAGCUAGAUUAGCAAAUAUGGAUCCUGUUCUUGAAAGAUCAAAAAGUUCGAAGCAACCAAAACUCACUACAAGCUUCUUGAAAAAUGCAAAAGCAAAGCUGGGGAAAGCAAUUAGAGGAAAGAAUUGCAUGAAGCUUUACCUGCAAGAAUUGCAGAGUCACAAUUUCUACAGCUUAUACUUCAAGUUGCAGUUGAAGUUGAAAAUAAAUUAGGGGCCCUUCAGCUUAUAAGGUGAAAGGAGUGUAUUUGGAAGAAGAGUAUAAGAAAAUACAAGAAUGGCUGAAUGCCUUUAAGCCUAUCUAAGAAGAAAGAGGUGUGACCAUUAUGUA